rnacentral:rRNA from 1 species
GGGUGCAAGUAUAUCAGUACUAAUGCAUUAUAUCUCAUUAGAACUCUAAAGUUAAGUACGAUUGAGUAAGAGUAGCAUUAGGAUGGGCUUCGUAUUGCACCUA